rnacentral:misc_RNA from 1 species
AUCAAAAAUCAAAAUCAGAGAUUGUUUUGAGAGAAGAAAAUGUCUGGAGUUGGACCAAUCACGCAGGAUUGGGAACCAGUGGUGAUCCGCAAGAAGGCUCCCAACGCUGCCGCCAAGAAGGACCAGAAGGUCGUCAACGCCGCUCGGCGUUCUGGCGCUGACAUUGAAAUUAUAAAAAAAUCAAAUGCUGGUUCAAACAAAGCAGCCUCCAGCAGCACUUCUUUAAACACAAGGAAGCUUGAUGAAGAAACUGAGAAGCUAACUCAUGAACGAGUGCCAACUGAGUUGAAGAAAGCCAUCAUGCAGGCUCGAAUGGACAAGAAACUUACCCAGGCUCAACUUGCUCAGUUGAUCAAUGAGAAGCCCCAGAUAAUACA